CACGGAGAUGUGUUUCUGCGCGUGCGUAUAUAUGAAAAGUGUUCACCCCACAAUCAUAAGACAAUCAAACAGCAUUCAAAUCAGACCAACACACCACGUGCGAUACCCUCGGUCCUCUGUGCCUCGGUGAUCAUAAUAUUACAAACUAAUAACAUGACUAGUCGGGAAAUUAGCGAUUAAAUUGCCCAUUUGCCAGACGACUCGGGAAGAUUUGUGAAAGUUCCCGGACUUUCACAAAUCGAUUUAUAUUUUCAUGAGGUGAAAGAUGGAAUUUUUAUGUAACACCAAAAAAGGUAAAUGUUGUUCCUUUUUAUUGAACUAAAUAUAAAACAGAUACAUUCCAACAAACAUGUCCCCAAAAAAGUAAAGAGUUGAUGUAUAAUGGCAUUCAUUUAAGUCACAAUUGUCGUAAAAUCGGCCUCAUAAUGAAUAUUUGGGUUACAUGAGCUACAAUUAGGAUAUGAUUAAGAUUUUGACGGUUGGAAUUUAAGGUUAC